rnacentral:rRNA from 1 species
AUACGUAGGGUGCAAGCGUUAAUCGGAAUUACUGGGCGUAAAGCGUGCGCAGGCGGCUAUGCAAGACUGAUGUGAAAUCCCCGGGCUCAACCUGGGAACUGCAUUAGUGACUGCAUAGCUGGAGUGCGGCAGAGGGGGAUGGAAUUCCGCGUGUAGCAGUGAAAUGCGUAGAUAUGCGGAGGAACACCGAUGGCGAAGGCAAUCCCCUGGGCCUGCACUGACGCUCAUGCACGAAAGCGUGGGGAGCAAACAGGAUUAGAUACCCUGGUAGUCCACGCCCUAAACGAUGUCAACUGGUUGUUGGGAAUUUAUUUUCUCAGUAACGAAGCUAACGCGUGAAGUUGACCGCCUGGGGAGUACGGUCGCAAGACUAAA